rnacentral:rRNA from 1 species
UACGGUGGGGGCAAGCGUUGUUCGGAAUUACUGGGCGUAAAGGGUGCGUAGGCGGCUUUCUAAGUCGGAUGUGAAAACUCUGGGCUCAACCCAGAGCCUGCAUCUGAAACUGGAGAGCUAGGGUUUUGGAGGGGAAAGCGGAAUUCCAGGUGUAGCGGUGAAAUGCGUAGAUAUCUGGAGGAACACCGGUGGCGAAGGCGGCAUUCUGGACUGCAACUGACACUGAGAGACGAAAGCCAGGGGAGCAAACGGG